rnacentral:rRNA from 1 species
GAUGAACGCUGGCGGCGUGCCUAAUACAUGCAAGUCGGGCGAAUGGAUUAAGAGCUUGCUCUUAUGAAGUUAGCGGCGGACGGGUGAGUAACACGUGGGUAACCUGCCCAUAAGACUGGGAUAACUCCGGGAAACCGGGGCUAAUACCGGAUAACAUUUUGAACCGCAUGGUUCGAAAUUGAAAGGCGGCUUCGGCUGUCACUUAUGGAUGGACCCGCGUCGCAUUAGCUAGUUGGUGAGGUAACGGCUCACCAAGGCAACGAUGCGUAGCCGACCUGAGAGGGUGAUCGGCCACACGGGGACUGAGACACGGCCCAGACUCCGACGGGAGGCAGCAGUAGGGAAUCUUCCGCAAUGGACGAAAGUCUGACGGAGCAACGCCGCGUGAGUGAUGAAGGCUUUCGGGUCGUAAAACUCUGUUGUUAGGGAAGAACAAGUGCUAGUUGAAUAAGCUGGCACCUUGACGGUACCUAACCAGAAAGCCACGGCUAACUACGUGCCAGCCGCCGCAGUAA